GACAAGGGCGAGGGCAGCAGGAAAGGGACAGACGUUUAGACAAUGAAGCAGAAAUGAGGCCCCAGGAGUGCAGGUAACAAAGGCCAAGAAUGGAAAGACAGUGCUGAGAAGUGGGAAGGAAUAGGCGGAGACAGAGAACAAGGGGACCAUUCAGUCUAAGGCGCCCCGCUUACAUCUUACCUACACUGCGGUUCCCUUACAUUGAAUAUGUCUUGAAAUAAAUCUGCCAGGAGCUGGGGCUUAGAAAACAAUCAUUUUGUUAGAGAAAGUUUGGGUUGGAGCUGGAUCAAAUUUGACAGGAUUUAACCCGUCAAGGAAAGAGGAUGCAGGGCUCUCCAGUCAAACGUUGGCCGCAGUGCCGCUCAGGGAGGCUGGCUACGAGUCGCAGCUUGGGGCCUCCGCUGUUCUUUCUGUUUCAUCGGCGCUGCUUCUUUGAAUCCCAACUUGCACAGUGACAUCCCAGGACUCCCCGGAGCUUCAGGGCUCAGGACGCCCCAAAGCAAACUCCCUGUGUUACUUCCUGCCAUGCAAGCCACCUCCAAUCUGCAGGCUCUGCGGCCCUUUCCCCUGGGACCAGUGCAGAGGAGGGUGAGGGCUUCCAGCUGGAGACCGAGGACGACUCAGCCUAUAGAGUCAUGGAUUUGAGGGAAAAUGCGUUUCCUUACAAGUGAUGAAGUGGAAAUGGCACCAGUGUGCAGGAACGAAUGGACGGAUGGGGAGCUCCAGAUGGAGGCGGCAAAUGCCGGAACGACGGGCCGUGACCAUGAAUCAGCAGACGAGCCUUGGCUCUUGGUGACAGACACCCAUUUGCCCCGCAGCCAAACUGUCUGCUUUGGCUUCUCUGAGCUGCAGUGGAAGCCAAGUUGUCUACCACCCAAUCAGUGACCCAACAAGAGGGGCUGAAAUUACGGCAAAGUGAAGCCAGAUAAAAAUCCACCCCUGUGCAUUGCUGCAGCGGCAGAAGAGAAGUCACAUAUCUGUUUCUGAAUGUGUCAGAGAUUCCUGUGGCCUGGGAAUGGGAUGCCAAUGACUGGAAAGGCAGAGGGGUGACUGCCUUAAAUGCACUGCCUGUAAAGUCUUUUCAUCUUCUUGCCAAGAAAUUAACGAAGCCAGGUCAGAAGGAAUUGUUAUUGGACAACUUAACGUCUGCCAUUUAAGCUAAGAAUAAAGCAGAAAAGGAGGGUCUGCAAAGUCAUAAAGGACAAUAGUUUAAAGCUACCGAGAGAGAACUAAGGCAGGUUGUUGUAAACCUUGAUUUUCAACCCUAUUACUGACACAGAUAGGCCUGUGGAUAUUUUGAAAUUUAUUGCUUUUUCAUGCAAGUUUGAACCAAGCAAAUCCAAAAUCAUGUAAUGUGAAGACAGUAAUAAAGUCUCCCUUUAGGUACAACAUUUGAGAUAAUAUAAAUCUCCUUGAUUUGCCAUGGUCCCAAUAGCAAAUAGAUGGCAAGCUUAAACUGUAUGAAAGAGCUCUUGACAAAGGCAUGGGCAAGGUGUAGGGAAACUGCAAGGAACUGUGGCAAUCUCCUCUCCUGCCCUGAAGGAGAGGGGAAGGAGCAGUCACUGCCCUCCUUGGGAGGGUUAGCUGUGUGGAAAGGAUCGUUGGACAGGAGCUGGGACUUUGGUAAAGGGACACAGUUGAUCUGUGGUAGCCUGGCAGAGGGUUCUGGAAGAGACACCUAAACCUCUCUUUUCAUCACCUUGAUGUCUGUUGGUGGGACCUGCCUGGAAGCCACAGGUCAAGGAGACUUGUUCGUGUAGCCCAUAUGGAUCAACCACCUGGGAGGAAGAGGAUGGAAACAAACCCCAAAAU